GAUGAACGCUAGCGGCAGGCUUAAUACAUGCAAGUCGAACGGUAAGGUCUCUUCGGAGAUACACGAGUGGCGCACGGGUGCGUAACGCGUAUGCAACCUACCUUUAACUGGGAAAUAGCCCCGAGAGAUCGGGAUUAAUGUCCCAUAUUAUUUUCUGAAUGCAUAUUUGGAAAAUGAAAGCUCCGGCGGUUAAAGAUGGGCAUGCGUGACAUUAGCUAGUUGGUGAGGUAACGGCCCACCAAGGCGACGAUGUCUAGGGGUCCUGAGAGGGUUAACCCCCACACUGGUACUGAGACACGGACCAGACUCCUACGGGAGGCAGCAGUAAGGAAUAUUGGGCAAUGGACGCAAGUCUGACCCAGCCAUGCCGCGUGAAGGAUGAAUGUCCUAUGGAUUGUAAGCUUCUUUUGUGCAAGAAAAACCCCUCGGUUUCGUACCGGGGCUGAUUGUAUUGCACGAAUAAGCAUCGGCUAACUCCGUGCCAGCAGCCGCGGUAACAC
rnacentral:rRNA from 1 species